AUUCUUUCAUUGAGUCUGCAUUUAUUAUUUUUCAGAUACUCCUUGUACUUGAGAAUCACAAGUGCUGUGAUCUCCAUUUGCAAAUGUGGCAUGUGAUGAAUAAUUUUGAACAUUAUGCAAAUCUAACUUUUAUUUUGGUCUAAAAUGUAAUUAGUAUAUUUAUAGAGUUUAGCUUAAAUCUGUUUUAUUAAAAAUGUAACAAUUGAUGUGCCUUUGCUAAACCAUGAGUUACAUGCAUAUACAAUCCCAUGAUUCUGUCAUGCAUAAGAGGUUUUCAUAGGCACAAUGUAGAGAACUCUUAUCCAUGGAUAAAUCAGUAUAAUGCACAACAUAUGGAGCUUUAUAAAUUUAUGUAGCAAACUCUUCAGUUUGAUACUAGACUUAAUCUGUCUUGGGUAACCAAUCAUAUGAUAGACAUUAAUGUUUUUUUUGUGUGUGUGCAGGACUCUGUUUCUGCUGACGUGGUUUCUUCUACAGAACAGAUUUUGGAGAAAGCAGAAGCAACAAACUCAAAGGUAGAAGCAGAUACAUCUGUGGCCUCGGGAGCAGGUGUAUCAGAAGCUUUAUCUGAAACGGAUGCCUCAGUGGAAAGCCAGUCUCUCCCUGCAGACAUGGAGCAGGGUGCAUGGAGGGGGGAACAGACGCCACACACCAAUGACACACUCACACACAUGACACUCGUAGACAACACAAAGAAACAUUCAGAGUCACAAGCCCCACCCACAGAAACAGAGGACAUGUUGACCUCACCUAAUGCCAUGACCUCUGAUGAAGGGCUGGGUGAUCAGAGCCUGAGCUCCACAAACACACUAUCAGACAAACCACCUGAGAAACAUUUAAACACUUUGACACACACUACUCCAUCAAAUGCAGAAGACCAUAGGUUAGAGAGCAGAAGCACACACGACACACACACACCAAUUACAGUCAAACCCUGCCUGGAGAGGACAGAGCCACUGGCUGCAAGUGCAUCUUUGGUAAGCACAGAUGCUGAUAGUGAAUCUCCCCCCACUGACUCACACUUGACACAAUUACUCACAUAAAUCUGAGUGUGUGUUGCAUUUUAUCUGCACAUUUCUCUUUGCUCACCA
rnacentral:lncRNA from 1 species